UCGGAUAUGGUGUAACGGCUAACAUUGCCGCCUCUCAUGAUAGCAUGUCUGAAUGUUAUUCGCGGCAGCUCGGGGUUCGAUACUUCGGUUCCCCGUAUCCGAA